rnacentral:rRNA from 1 species
GACGAACGCUGGCGGCGUGCUUAACACAUGCAAGUCGAACGGAAAGGCCCUGCUUUUGUGGGGUGCUCGAGUGGCGAACGGGUGAGUAACACGUGAGUAACCUGCCCUUGACUUUGGGAUAACUUCAGGAAACUGGGGCUAAUACCGGAUAGGAGCUCCUGCUGCAGGGUGGGGGUUGGAAAGUUUCGGCGGUUGGGGAUGGACUCGCGGCUUAUCAGCUUGUUGGUGGGGUAGUGGCUUACCAAGGCUUUGACGGGUAGCCGGCCUGAGAGGGUGACCGGCCACCUUGGGACUGAGAUACGGCCCAGACUCCUACGGGAGGCAGCAGUGGGGAAUAUUGCACAAUGGGCGGAAGCCUGAUGCAGAAACGCCGCGUGCGGGAUGACGGCCUUCGGGUUGUAAACCGCUUUCGCCUGUGACGAAGCGUGAGUGACGGUAAUGGGUAAAGAAGCACCGGCUAACUACGUG